CCUACGGGAGGCUGCAGUGAGGAAUAUUGGUCAAUGGACGAGAGUCUGAACCAGCCAAGUAGCGUGAAGGAUGACUGCCCUAUGGGUUGUAAACUUCUUUUAUAUGGGAAUAAAAUGUUCCACGUGUGGGAUUUUGUAUGUACCAUAUGAACAAGGAUCGGCUAACUCCGUGCCAGCAGCCGCGGUAAUACGGAGGAUCCGAGCGUUAUCCGGAUUUAUUGGGUUUAAAGGGAGCGUAGGUGGAUUGUUAAGUCAGUUGUGAAAGUUUGCGGCUCAACCGUAAAAUUGCAGUUGAAACUGGCAGUCUUGAGUACAGUAGAGGUGGGCGGAAUUCGUGGUGUAGCGGUGAAAUGCUUAGAUAUCACGAAGAACUCCGAUUGCGAAGGCAGUUCACUGGACUGCAACUGACACUGAGGCUCGAAAGUGUGGGUAUCAAACAGGAUUAGAUACCCUUGUAGUC
rnacentral:rRNA from 1 species